GAUGAAGAACGUAGCGAAAUGCGAUACUUGGUGUGAAUUGCAGAAUCCCGUGAACCAUCGAGUCUUUGAACGCAAGUUGCGCCCGAAGCCAUUAGGCCGAGGGCACGCCUGCCUGGGUGUCACACGUCGUUGCCCCCCCAUCUACUCCUUCGGGAUUGCGGGGGGCGGAUGAUGGCCUCCCGUGCGCCUCGUCGCGCGGUUGGCAUAAAUGCCAAGUCCUCGGCGACGCACGCCACGACAAUCGGUGGUUGCGAAACCUCGGUUGCCCGUCGUGUGCGGUCGUCGCGCAUCGAGGGCUCGAAAAAAUUGCCGGGCUCCGGCUCGGCUUUCAACGCGACCCCAGGUCAGGCGGGGUUACCCGCUGAAUUUAAGUAUAUCAAUAAGCGGAGGA
rnacentral:misc_RNA from 1 species